rnacentral:rRNA from 1 species
UGAAAUCUCGAAGCUCAACUUCGAAACUGCGUCUGAAACUGCUAGUCUAGAAUGUCGGAGGGGAUAGGGGAAUUUCACGUGUAGGGGUAAAAUCCGUAGAGAUGUGAAGGAACACCGGAGGCGAAGGCGCCUAUCUGGACGACUAUUGACGCUGAGGCUCGAAAGCGUGGGGAGCAAACAGGAUUAGAUACCCUGGUAGUCCACGCCGUAAACGAUGAACACUAGUUAUUGGGGGUAUUGACUCCCUCAGUGACGCAGCUAACGCAUUAAG